rnacentral:rRNA from 1 species
GGUUAAGCGACUAAGCGUACACGGUGGAUGCCCUGGCAGUCAGAGGCGAUGAAGGACGUGCUAAUCUGCGAUAAGCGUCGGUAAGGUGAUAUGAACCGUUAUAACCGGCGAUUUCCGAAUGGGGAAACCCAGUGUGAUUCGUCACACUAUCAUUAACUGAAUCCAUAGGUUAAUGAGGCGAACCGGGGGAACUGAAACAUCUAAGUACCCCGAGGAAAAGAAAUCAACCGAGAUUCCCCCAGUAGCGGCGAGCGAACGGGGAGCAGCCCAGAGCCUGAAUCAGUGUGUGUGUUAGUGGAAGCGUCUGGAAAGGCGUGCGAUACAGGGUGACAGCCCCGUACACAAAAAUGCACAUACUGUGAGCUCGAUGAGUAGGGCGGGACACGUGGUAUCCUGUCUGAAUAUGGGGGGACCAUCCUCCAAGGCUAAAUACUCCUGACUGACCGAUAGUGAACCAGUACCGUGAGGGAAAGGCGAAAAGAACCCCGGCGAGGGGAGUGAAAAAGAACCUGAAACCGUGUACGUACAAGCAGUGGGAGCACGCUUAGGCGUGUGACUGCGUACCUUUUGUAUAAUGGGUCAGCGACUUAUAUUCUGUAGCAAGGUUAACCGAAUAGGGGAGCCGAAGGGAAACCGAGUCUUAACUGGGCGUUAAGUUGCAGGGUAUAGACCCGAAACCCGGUGAUCUAGCCAUGGGCAGGUUGAAGGUUGGGUAACACUAACUGGAGGACCGAACCGACUAAUGUUGAAAAAUUAGCGGAUGACUUGUGGCUGGGGGUGAAAGGCCAAUCAAACCGGGAGAUAGCUGGUUCUCCCCGAAA